rnacentral:rRNA from 1 species
GAGUUUGAUCCUGGCUCAGGAUGAACGCUGGCGGCGUGCCUAACACAUGCAAGUCGAACGGUCUGCUUCGGCAGAUAGUGGCGCACGGGUGAGUAACACGUGGUUGAUCUACCCCAAAGUAGGGGAUAACGUUCCGAAAGGAAUGCUAAUACCCUAUAAGCUCCCGAAGUUUAGAAGAUUGGGAGAAAAGUUCCGGCGCUUUGGGAGGAGACUGCGGGCCAUCAGCUAGUUGGUGUGGUAACGGCACACCAAGGCGACGACGGCUAGGGGACCUGAGAGGGUGGCCCCCCACACUGGAACUGAGACACGGUCCAGACUCCUACGGGAGGCAGCAGUGAGGAAUAUUGCACAAUGGGCGCAAGCCUGAUGCAGCGACGCCGCGUGGGUGAUGAAGGCUUUCGGGUCGUAAAGCCCUUUUCUAGGUGACGAGAAUGGACGGUAGCCUAGGAAUAAGUGUCGGCUAACUACGUGCCAGCAGCCGCGGUAAAACGUAGGACACAAGCGUUAUCCGGAGUUACUGGGCGUAAAGGGCGUGUAGGCGGGUUGGUAAGUCUAUUCUGAAAGCUCCUGGCUAAACUGGGAGAGGCGAAUGGAGACUGCCAGUCUAGAGUGAGGAAAAGGAAAGUGGAAUUCCGCGUGUGGUGGUGAAAUGCGUAGAGAUGCGGAGGAACACCAGUGGCGAAAGCGACUUUCUGGUCCUUAACUGACGCUGAAGCGCGAAAACAUGGGGGGCAAACGGGAAUUAGAAACCCCGGUGGUCCAUGCCCAUAAACGAUGUUCACUAAACGUUCGUUUCCCGCGAGGGAAGUGGGUGUUGAAGCUAACGCAGUAAGUGAACCGCCUGGGGAGUACGGUCGCAAGGCUAAAACUCAAAGGAAUUGACGGGGGACCGCACAAGCAGCGGAGCGUGUGGUUUAAUUCGAGGCUACACGAAGAACCUUACCUAGGUUUGACAUCGUAACGAAUACUGCGUGAAAGCGUGGUAGUCCCGCAAGGGACGUUAUGACAGGUGCUGCAUGGCUGUCGUCAGCUCGUGCCGUGAGGUGUUCGGUUAAGUCCGCAAACGAGCGCAACCCUCGGUGCCAGUUACAAGUGUCUGGCGCGACUGCCCGUGGCAAACGGGAGGAAGGUGGGGAUGACGUCAAGUCAGCAUGGCCUUUAUAUCUAGGGCUACACACACGCUACAAUGGCGCGUACAAUGGGUCGCGAAGCUGCGAAGCGGAGCUAAUCCUAAAAAGCGCGUCUCAGUUCAGAUCGUAGGCUGCAACCCGCCUGCGUGAAGUUGGAGUUGCUAGUAACCGCGCGUCAGCAGAGUGCGGUGAAUACGUUCCCGGUCCUUGUACACACCGCCCGUCACGUCAUGAGAGUUGGUGACGCCUGAAGUCGGGAAGCUAACCGCAAGGAGGCUACUGCCGAAGGCAGCAUUGAUGAUUGGGACGAAGUCGUAACAAGGUAACC